UACAGAGGGUGCGAGCGUUGUCCGGAAUCACUGGGCGUAAAGGGCGCGUAGGCGGCUCGGUAAGCGUGCGGUGAAAGCCCGGGGCUCAACCCCGGGUCGGCCGUGCGAACUGCGGAGCUGGAGCACUGUAGAGGCAGGUGGAAUUCCGGGUGUAGCGGUGGAAUGCGUAGAUAUCGGGAGGAACACCUGUGGCGAAAGCGGCGCACUGGACCACAACUGACGCUGAGGCGCGAAAGCUAGGGGAGCAAACAGG
rnacentral:rRNA from 1 species